rnacentral:lncRNA from 1 species
UAGUUGGAGUCGAAGUGCUAUUUUCGGUUGUGACAAUGGUGGUUGGAGCAUUCUGGAUCUUAAUAAAGGUCUUGGAACAAUGUUAGCUGAAAUAUAAUGCAAAACACAAUCAAGAUUGGAAUGCUUGUUCGAUGUUGUUACCUGGUUUGCUGCUUCUUGACUAUGCACUACUUGUAUUGCAGCAAGGUUUUCCUCAGUCCUCCCAGCUUCAUAGGGAGUUGUAUUAUUGUUGGUUUGAGGGGUAUGCUGCACAAUUUAAAAGUGGGCAGGCAAGAGAUUAGCGACAUAUGUAUAUAUAUUUUCAAUCACAUCCAAUUAUUGUCGAUACCUGGUUCCUAGUUUCUUGGCUAUGCAGUACUGGCCUUGCUUCAAUGUUAUCCUCGCUAGUCCUAGCAUCAACUUCAGUUGUAUUAUUGUUGUUUGCCGAUGUACACUACGGAUUUUAAAAGAGGGGAGGCUACAUAUAAGCGAGAUUAUGCAAAUUUAUAACACAACAGAAAUAAACAUGCACAAAUCAUGUUCUGGUUACCUCUCCCAGUAAAGCCUGAUGAUAAGGCGCCAUCAUUGUUUCAACUUCCCCCAUCAAUUCUUGUCUAAGCGCGGCUUUAAGUUGUUCUCUCUCUACUUCCUUUUCAGCUUCGUGCUUCUGCAUUUUUUUCCUGUAACUGACGUUCCUGUUCUUCGAGCCUCUCUAUUCUCUCUUGAAUCAUUCUCUCCUCAAGGGCUGCCUGCUUUCGUUUUGUAUUCGACAAGUAACCAUGGCCACGUGACCUGCUGUAUUUGGCUCCUAUUGUUUCAUGUACGUUUCCUAGAAAACUUGGUCUUCCUUAGCAGGUCCAGAAGUGUGACUACUCUGGAAAACUUGUUCUUCUUCAUCUGAUUGUGCUAGAGAUAAUUUUCUUCUUGUACUAGUCUGAUGGCAAAAAACAAUUAAUUGUAACAUUAAUUUGGUCAUGGCUUCAUACCAAAAAAUAGCUCGUGCAAUGUUAUGAUCAAAUUAGCACUCGAUACUCAUAUAAAUACUCUCAACCUCUUCCACAAAGAUACAUCUAUUAUCUCCACAGGGACCACCCACUUUUUCGGAAAAUUCGAUUUUCAGUUUAUUCUCCAAGCCACUCUUCGAUCUCU